AGAGUUUGAUCCUGGCUCAGGACGAACGCUGGCGGCGUGCCUAAUACAUGCAAGUAGAACGCUGAAGGAGGAGCUUGCUUCUCUGGAUGAGUUGCGAACGGGUGAGUAACGCGUAGGUAACCUGCCUGGUAGCGGGGGAUAACUAUUGGAAACGAUAGCUAAUACCGCAUAAGAGUAGAUGUUGCAUGACAUUUGCUUAAAAGGUGCACUUGCAUCACUACCAGAUGGACCUGCGUUGUAUUAGCUAGUUGGUGGGGUAACGGCUCACCAAGGCGACGAUACAUAGCCGACCUGAGAGGGUGAUCGGCCACACUGGGACUGAGACACGGCCCAGACUCCUACGGGAGGCAGCAGUAGGGAAUCUUCGGCAAUGGACGGAAGUCUGACCGAGCAACGCCGCGUGAGUGAAGAAGGUUUUCGGAUCGUAAAGCUCUGUUGUAAGAGAAGAACGAGUGUGAGAGUGGAAAGUUCACACUGUGACGGUAUCUUACCAGAAAGGGACGGCUAACUACGUGCCAGCAGCCGCGGUAAUACGUAGGUCCCGAGCGUUGUCCGGAUUUAUUGGGCGUAAAGCGAGCGCAGGCGGUUAGAUAAGUCUGAAGUUAAAGGCUGUGGCUUAACCAUAGUAGGCUUUUGAAACUGUUUAACUUGAGUGCAAGAGGGGAGAGUGGAAUUCCAUGUGUAGCGGUGAAAUGCGUAGAUAUAUGGAGGAACACCGGUGGCGAAAGCGGCUCUCUGGCUUGUAACUGACGCUGAGGCUCGAAAGCGUGGGGGGCAAAAAGGAUUAGAUACCCUGGUAGUCCACGCUGUAAACGAUGAGUGCUGGGUGUUAGACCCUUUCCGGGGUUUAGUGCCGUAGCUAACGCAUUAAGCACUCCGCCUGGGGAGUACGACCGCAAGGUUGAAACUCAAAGGAAUUGACGGGGGCCCGCACAAGCGGUGGAGCAUGUGGUUUAAUUCGAAGCAACGCGAAGAACCUUACCAGGUCUUGACAUCCCUCUGACCGCUCUAGAGAUAGAGCUUUCCUUCGGGACAGAGGUGACAGGUGGUGCAUGGUUGUCGUCAGCUCGUGUCGUGAGAUGUUGGGUUAAGUCCCGCAACGAGCGCAACCCCUAUUGUUAGUUGCCAUCAUUUAUUUGGGCACUCUAGCGAGACUGCCGGUAAUAAACCGGAGGAAGGUGGGGAUGACGUCAAAUCAUCAUGCCCCUUAUGACCUGGGCUACACACGUGCUACAAUGGCUGGUACAACGAGUCGCAAGCCGGUGACGGCAAGCUAAUCUCUUAAAGCCAGUCUCAGUUCGGAUUGUAGGCUGCAACUCGCCUACAUGAAGUCGGAAUCGCUAGUAAUCGCGGAUCAGCACGCCGCGGUGAAUACGUUCCCGGGCCUUGUACACCCCGCCCGUCACACCACGAGAGUUUGUAACACCCGAAGUCGGUGGGGUAACCGUAAGGAGCCAGCCGCCUAAGGUGGGAUAGAUGAUUGGGGUGAAGUCGUAACAAGGUAGCCGUAUCGGAAGGUGCGGCUGGAUCACCU
rnacentral:rRNA from 1 species